ensembl:lncRNA
CUGCAAUUCUGUGAAUCUGUGAUUUUUAAGAACAAGUUAUGAAAUCUUAAAAGCACAGAAAUAUGGGAAUAAUAUAUUGGAACUGCAGAAAUAGAGUCUCAUACCAUCAGAACUCUGGCAAAAAUUCUGGCCUUGUAGAAUUCAGCUGGAGUUGGGAUUCAUUUGUGGAUUUCACAGUGAAAUCAGUACUUUACCUUCUGCAUAAACCCAUGAGUAGGAGCAUCCAGACCCAGAUUUUAUCUCCACAUCUGAAUCUUGCAUAGACAAGAAUGGGGUUUAGGGCAAGGAAGAAGUUGUAUGAAUCAUGAGUAAAACAUGUAGCCUGAUGUAAACAAGUACCUUGUAUUUGCAUGCAUGGGUUGCAUUAUUUUCUUAAUUGCCUGUGCACAAGGAAGAACUGCAGUUGCACUUGAUGUUUUGGGAGUUGGUACAUGCAAAAGACAGCAGUAAUGGUGAGAUAGGUCAUUGACGCUCUGUAGACUGCCCAAAUGUGUCCUAUCUUGCCUUGGGAUGACUUGGCAUCUGAAUGACAGUCCCCCAGGAGUCUCCAGAAGCCAGCCCAGCCAUGUAUCAUCUCCACAAGGAGAGUACUGACUGCCAGAAUGACCAGCUCACUCCCCUCUUGAUUCUGCAGAGCACAGUGCCCCAUGACACAUCUCCUGUCCUCUGGAGGCGUUCAGCCCUUGCUCUCCCUGUAAAACAUGAGGAGAGUGAUAUCAUUUAUCUUAAAUAGUUGAAAAUAGGAAGAAGGGAGUAAAGCUUUGCCUCUGGAGACCAGUUCAGCAUCAUUGCACUGGGGCAGCUUCAUGAACUGGCCAAAAAUCAUUUGAAUUUUGCUCUGUUCUGUGGUUAGCAGAUGAAAAACUGCAUUUCAAGAGGAUUUAGAAUUAGAUGGGCAGUGUAAUGAGAGACCAGCUGUUACAGUAUUCAGUGUUGAACAUUAUUCUUCACUCGUUAAGAUGAAUUUUCAGUUGACAAAUGUUGCAGGGAUUUCUACUUCUCAGAUCAGUUAAUUAUUUUUAGGCAUUUUCUCCUGUUCUUAGGCUUCCCUGAUCCAGUGUUGUUGUUGGUAAAUACAGACUGAAUCUCCAGAAUUUGACCAUAUAUUUUUGCAUUUGCAGAAUAUGAAAGAGGGUUGAAAGAUAUUGAAAACAAAACAAAACAAACAAUCAAAGAAAACCUGGUAAUUGUUUUCUAUUUUAUUUCACAGUAAGUGAGGAUAGAGCCAUAGCUUCUGUCCCAAACGUUCUUGGGUUUGGUUAGGCCUUCAGGAAGGGAAUCCUGGCAAAGCAUAUCUUUAAAUUAAAACCCCCCAAACUGUUUCAACAGUGACAGCUCAUUUCUCUUUAAACUGAUCACACUAAGGAUCUAAUUCAGGAUGUAAUGACACACAACAUCUAUAAAAAAUGAGUACACUCAAAUGUAAAUGACUUAGAUUUAAAUUUCAGUGUAUGCAGCUCCCUCUGCUUUCAGACAUUAUUGGCUCCAUCCUAUAAGCUGCUGUUUGUGCCAGUUGUCCUGCUGAAACUUUGGUGAAACCGCUCAGAUAGCGUCAUUUUUCUUGUAGGAUUUCACCCUGACCUUGGUGAAAUGUAGAAUUUGUCUGAAGUGUGACAUUAUUUUGCAGAUCUAUAUAUGGAGAAAAAUACAAAGAAUCUACCAAAAUUACCAAAAUGUUGUUUCAACAUGAAAAACAGAGGAAAAAAUCCUUAGCUAAAUUACUGAUUUGAGUGCAUGCAUGCAAGUUGUUUGCCAGCACUGUCAUCUUGGAAACAAAUUACAGUAACAAAUUUAGGGAAGAUAAAUGGACUGUCUACUCAACAAUUGAAAUUCUGAUCCUGCAAACACAUGCACAUUUGUUUGAAAUAAAGCCUACACAGGCUUAAUUUUAAGCAGAUUUAACAAUACAAAUAAUAUCCUUCAGAAGAGUGAGACUGCUAAAAUGCUAAACCCAGGCUGAGCAUGGACAGUCUAGAAGUCUUCCCCAAGCUAACAUUUUAUCUCAUUUUACUGAUUUUACUGGUGCAUGAACACGUUCAUGUGCCAACAGUACUGAUAUGUGGAACAGAUAUGGCUUUCUUCUGUUUCUUAUUUUAUUUCUUAGAGCAUUGUUCACUACUAUAUUAAACGUUUUUGUGAACUUGUCCUUUCAUUUUGCUUUCAGUCAUGCAGCCAUAGUUUCCCGCAACAUAGCUAACAGCUUUGCAGUUUUAGUCUGAACUUCUCUUUGGUCACUGUUCUUCAUCUAAGCCUAAAAUAUGUAAGAAAGCCUCUCAUGUAAUGGGAAAACUUGCCAUAAAAAUGUGUAAGAGUUUUCUCGGGUACAUGUUUUCACAUUUAAUAAAAAGACAAUUUUC